ACUCAAAUGAAUUGACGGGGGCCCGCACAAGCAGCGGAGCGUGUGGUUUAAUUCGAUGCAACGCGCAGAACCUUACCUCGACUUGACAUGCAGGUGGUACCAACCUGAAAGGGAAGGGACCCGCGAGGGAGCCUGCACAGAUGCUGCAUGGCUGUCGUCAGCUCGUGCCGUGAGGUGUUGGGUUAAGUCCCGCAACGAGCGCAACCCUUGCCCUUAGUUGCUUUCUCUAAGGGGACUGCCGGUCUAAGCCGGAGGAAGGCGGGGAUGAGGUCAAGUCAGCACGGCUCUUACGUCGAGGGCUACACACACGCUACAAUGGCCGGUACAACGGGCUGCCAAGGCGCGAGCCGGAGCUAAUCCCACCAAAGCCGGUCUCAGUUCGGAUUGCAGGCUGCAACUCGCCUGCAUGAAGUCGGAGUUGCUAGUAACUGCCGGUCAGCACACGGCGGUGAAUACGUUCCCGGGCCUUGUACACACCGCCCGU
rnacentral:rRNA from 1 species